rnacentral:tRNA from 1 species
UCUAAAAUGGCAGAUCAUUGCACAGGGUUUAAGCCCCUGAUAGGAAAUAUUAUUUCUUUUAGAA